GAGUUUGAUCCUGGCUCAGAGCGAACGCUGGCGGCAGGCUUAACACAUGCAAGUCGAGCGGGCGUAGCAAUACGUCAGCGGCAGACGGGUGAGUAACGCGUGGGAACGUACCUUUUGGUUCGGAACAACACAGGGAAACUUGUGCUAAUACCGGAUAAGCCCUUACGGGGAAAGAUUUAUCGCCGAAAGAUCGGCCCGCGUCUGAUUAGCUAGUUGGUGAGGUAAUGGCUCACCAAGGCGACGAUCAGUAGCUGGUCUGAGAGGAUGAUCAGCCACAUUGGGACUGAGACACGGCCCAAACUCCUACGGGAGGCAGCAGUGGGGAAUAUUGGACAAUGGGCGCAAGCCUGAUCCAGCCAUGCCGCGUGAGUGAUGAAGGCCCUAGGGUUGUAAAGCUCUUUUGUGCGGGAAGAUAAUGACGGUACCGCAAGAAUAAGCCCCGGCUAACUUCGUGCCAGCAGCCGCGGUAUACG
rnacentral:rRNA from 1 species